UACGUAGGGGGCAAGCGUUGUCCGGAUUUAUUGGCGUAAAGAGCGUGUAGGCGGCUUUACAGGUCCGUUGUGAAAACUCGAGGCUCAACCUCGAGACGCCGGUGGAAACCGUAAAGCUAGAGUCCGGAAGAGGAGAGUGGAAUUCCUGGUGUAGCGGUGAAAUGCGCAGAUAUCAGGAAGAACACCAAUGGCGAAAGCAGCU
rnacentral:rRNA from 1 species